rnacentral:lncRNA from 1 species
CUCUUUAUGAUGCUCAGUAGUGAUAUUCAACAAUAUUUUUAUCUUUGAGUUGAAUAUCUCUGAGAUCUAUGUUGCUCUAGUAUUUAUGUCUUCAGAUUCUUCCUUAAGAAAAUCUGUCCUUUUUUGUAUAUGUAGGAUAUAUUGGUAUAAAUCGAAAAAUGACCAGUCAGAGACGGAUCGAUCUUUAUGUUUCUGGAUGGACGAUUACGCAUUCUUCGCGGAGGUUGGGUCUUCCGUUUCUUCACAAGGAUAGCAGGGUAGUUGUUCAGUACCUGAUCAAAGUGAACUACGUUAUGACUUGAUCUCCUUUACGGGGUACGUAAGCAGCUUGGUUCCAUGACUCUGGCUUUAUCUAUCAGUAAAUUCUAUGUUUCUGCUGAGAAAAUCUGCAAGAAAAUUAUUAACUCGUUUAAUAUGAACUAUAUCAAAAUUGUAAAAUACUAAAUAAGCUUGCCAUCUAUGGAGCCUUCUGUAUUGACGUUCUGAUGGUUGUUUAUUCUCGACUAAUCCUGCAACUUGAGAAAUAUCUGUUUCAACAAUAAAUUUUUUAGAUAACAAAAAUAAUGAGAACUUUUUUAUUCCUCUAAUAAUUGCUAGUGAUUCUUUUUCAUGAAUAGUAUAAUUUAUUUCUGUUUGAUUAAAAAUUUCACUUGAGUAUCUACAAAUCUCAUUAAAAUCUGUUUUUAAUAUUGCCGCCCAAUAUUUAUCUAAGGCAUCAGUGUUAACAGUCAAAUUAUCUUUUUCAUCU